UUUCCGUAGGUGAACCUGCGGAAGGAUCAUUAAUGAAAUGCAAGGAUGCUCUUUUUAGAGAUCCGAUCCAUUUUAUCCUUUACACUGUGAACCCACUGCUUUUUACACUACUUUAAACACGAGUCUAAGAAUGUAAUCAAGUCUCUUAAGUGAGCAUAAAAAAUACAACUUUCGGCAAUGGAUCUCUUGGCUCCCGCAUCGAUGAAGAACGCAGC
rnacentral:misc_RNA from 1 species